UACGUAGGGUGCGAGCGUUAAUCGGAAUUACUGGGCGUAAAGCGUGCGCAGGCGGCGCGUUAAGACAGGUGUGAAAGCCCCGAGCUUAACUUGGGAAUUGCGCUUGUGACUGGCGUGCUGGAGUGUGGCAGAGGGAGGUGGAAUUCCACGUGUAGCAGUGAAAUGCGUAGAGAUGUGGAGGAACACCGAUGGCGAAGGCAAUCCCCUGGGCCUGCACUGACGCUCAUGCACGAAAGCGUGGGGAGCAAACAGG
rnacentral:rRNA from 1 species